rnacentral:misc_RNA from 1 species
CGCACAUUGCACCCUCUGGUAUUCCGGGGGGUAUGCCUGUUCGAGCUUCAUAUCAACCCUCAAAAACGCCUCGUUUUUGGCAUUGGAUUGUGUUGUAAUAAAACAAAUCCUAAAUGAGUCGGCAGCUAGUUAUCGAAAGCUACAAAUACGUUGGAAUUUUUUACUAUUUGUGUUAUUGGAACUAGUCUUCGCCUUUUUUAUUUUAUAUCUUAAGGUUGAACUCGAAUCAGGUAGGGAUACCCGCUGAACUUAA